rnacentral:rRNA from 1 species
UAGGGAAUCUUCCGCAAUGGGCGAAAGCCUGACGGAGCAACGCCGCGUGAGUGAAGAAGGAUUUCGGUUCGUAAAGCUCUGUUGUUAGGGAAGAAUGAUUGUGUAGUAACUAUACACAGUAGAGAUGGUACCUAACCAGAAAGCCACGGCUAACUACGUGCCAGCAGCCGCGGUAAUACGUAGGUGGCAAGCGUUGUCCGGAAUUAUUGGGCGUAAAGCGCGCGCAGGUGGUUUAAUAAGUCUGAUGUGAAAGCCCACGGCUCAACCGUGGAGGGUCAUUGGAAACUGUUAAACUUGAGUGCAGGAGAGAAAAGUGGAAUUCCUAGUGUAGCGGUGAAAUGCGUAGAGAUUAGGAGGAACACCAGUGGCGAAGGCGGCUUUUUGGCCUGUAACUGACACUGAGGCGCGAAAGCGUGGGGAGCAAACAGGAUUAGAUACCCUGGUAGUCCACGCCGUAAACGAUGAGUGCUAAGUGUUGGUCUCAUAAGAGAUCAGUGCUGCAGCUAACGCAUUAAGCACUCCGCCUGGGGAGUACGACCGCAAGGUUG